rnacentral:rRNA from 1 species
CGGCACGGGUGAGUAACACGUAUCCAACCUGCCGUCUACUCUUGGCCAGCCUUCUGAAAGGAAGAUUAAUCCAGGAUGGCAUCAUGAGUUCACAUGUCCGCAUGAUUAAAGGUAUUUUCCGGUAGACGAUGGGGAUGCGUUCCAUUAGAUAGUAGGCGGGGUAACGGCCCACCUAGUCAACGAUGGAUAGGGGUUCUGAGAGGAAGGUCCCCCACAUUGGAACUGAGACACGGUCCA